UAGUCAGAUGUGAGAUCCCCGGCUCAACAUAGGAAAUACAUAUGAUAUGGCAAGUUUAGAUUGUAGAGGGGGAGAAUCCAGGUGUAGCGUGAAAUCAUAGGAUCUGGGGGAAUCCGGUGGCGAAGGCGGCCCCCGGAGAAAAACUGACGCUCAGGUGCGAAAGCGUGGGGAGCAAACAGGAUUAGAUACCCUGGUAGUCCAUGCCGUAAACGAUGUCGACUUGGAGGGUGUGCCCUUGAGGCGUGGCUUCCGGA
rnacentral:rRNA from 1 species